CUUCUUUCCUUCUUAUUACAUGUUUUACCUUCUCUCCUUCUUAUUACAUUUCUCAAAUGAAGAACAAAUCCAUAUUUUACUUUUUUGAAGCAUUUCUCAAAUGAAGAACAUAUUUUACCUCCCAAAAAUCCAGAGAGAUAGAUGGUAAGAGAGAGAAGAUCGGAGAGAGAGAGAGAGGCAAUGAGGAUCGGUGAGAGAGGCAGUGAAGAUAGGAGAAAGAUCAGAAGAUCGAACGGGUGUUCCAUACAACAUCAGAUUCAGAUCUGGUUCAAGUGGUGGAGGUGACGGUGGUUCCUCCUGCCGGAAAACCACUUAGUAGCUACUUGGCGGUGGUGGUCCAUGAUCUAAAAGAUGAUCUGAAAUCCAAAAAGAGGAUCCAGUUCCAAGAUGCUACCAGAUCCAAAAGAUGCUCCAGAUCCGGUUGAAGAUGUUCGAUGUUGAAGAUGAUAUUCCAUAUAACGCCUAGCAACUGCUCUUUCAUUGGUUGGGUCGACCCACCGAUGUGCUUACGGUCAACUAGGAUCAUACCAGGUCUUUUGAGGAACAUCAACAACCUGCAAGCUGAACUGUUUACCCGUGAGCAAGAAAUUCGGAAGAAGAAGAGGGUUAUAUGGUUACUGAUAUUAGCGUUAGUGAUUGGCAGCUUACUUGUUAGCAUUGUUUGUUGUGAUUAAGAAAUAGGUGGUACUUAGUUGGAUUAUCCUUCUUAGUAUGUUAAUGACAUUUGUAGUAUGUACUUGUUGAUGUUUGGUUGAAUCUGAGAAUUUUCUAUGUUA